AAUCAACGCUGGCGGCGUGCCUCAGACAUGCAAGUCGAACGAUUAAGACUUCCUUCGGGAAGUGCAUAAAGUGGCGCACGGGUGAGUAACACGUAAGUAAUCUACCCUCGAGUGGGGAAUAACAGUCGGAAACGACUGCUAAUACCGCAUAAUGCAGCGGCACCGCAAGGUGACAGUUGUUAAAGGAGCAAUCCGCUUGAGGAGGAGCUUGCGGCAGAUUAGCUAGUUGGUAAGGUAACGGCUUACCAAGGCUACGAUCUGUAUCCGGUCUAAGAGGACGGUCGGACACACUGACACUGAAUAACGGGUCAGACUCCUACGGGAGGCAGCAGCCGGGAAUUUUGGGCAAUGGGCGAAAGCCUGACCCAGCAACGCCGCGUGAAGGAUGAAGUAUUUCGGUAUGUAAACUUCGAAAGAAUAGGAAGAAUAAAUGACGGUACUAUUUAUAAGCUCCGGCUAACUACGUGCCAGCCGCCGCGGUAAAAC
rnacentral:rRNA from 1 species